AAGGAGGGAGCCGUCUAAGGCAAAACCAAUGACUGGGGUGAAGUCGUAACAAGGUAGCCGUAUCGGAAGGUGCGGCUGGAUCACCUCCUUUCUAAGGAAAAU
rnacentral:rRNA from 1 species